AUUGAACGCUGGCGGCAGGCCUAACACAUGCAAGUCGAGCGGAGCGGCGGACGGGCGAGUAAUGCCUAGGAAUCUGCCUGGUAGUGGGGGAUAACGUCCGGAAACGGGCGCUACUACCGCAUACUCUCAGAUGAGCCUAGGUUGGAUUAGCUAGUUGGUUGGGUAAAGGCCUACCAAGGCGACGAUCCGUAACUGGUCUGUGAGGAGGAUCAGUCACACUGGAACUGAAACACGGUCCAGACUCCUACGGGAGGCAGCAGUGGGGAAUAUUGGACAAUGGGCGAAAGCCUGAUCCAGCCAGGCCGCGUGUGUGAAGAAGGUCUUCGGAUUGUAAAGCACUUUAAGUUGGGAGGCGUUACCAACAGAAUAAGCACCGGCUAACUUCGUGCCAGCAGCCGCGGUAAUUC
rnacentral:rRNA from 1 species